GGUCCCAUAGCUCAGUUGGUUAGAGCGUCGUACUAAUAUGUUCACCAGUUGAUACUCCACAAGAGCAUCACAUCGGGCAUGUCAAGUAAUUGAGUGUAUGCGAAGGCCGAGAGUUCGACCCUCUCUGGGACCA
rfam:Magnaporthe oryzae 70-15 chromosome 2, whole genome shotgun sequence.